rnacentral:rRNA from 1 species
AAGGCCCUUUCGGGGGUACACGAGCGGCGAACGGGUGAGUAACACGUGAGCAAUCUGCCCUUCACUUUGGGAUAACCACCGGAAACGGUGGCUAAUACCGAAUAUGACCAGUCUCUGCAUGGAGUGCUGGUGGAAAGUUCCGGCGGUGGAGGAUGAGCUCGCGGCCUAUCAGCUUGUUGGUGGGGUAAUGGCCUACCAAGGCGACGACGGGUAGCCGGCCUGAGAGGGUGACCGGCCACACUGGGACUGAGACACGGCCCAGACUCCUACGGGAGGCAGCAGUGGGGAAUAUUGGACAAUGGGCGAAAGCCUGAUCCAGCAACGCCGCGUGAGGGAUGACGGCCUUCGGGUUGUAAACCUCUUUCAGUAGGGACGAAGCUAACGUGACGGUACCUACAGAAGAAGCACCGGCCAACUGCGUGCCAGCAGCCGCGGUAAUACGUAGGGUGCGAGCGUUGUCCGGAAUUAUUGGGCGUAAAGGGCUCGUAGGCGGUUUGUCGCGUCGGGAGUGAAAACUCGGGGCUUAACUCCGAGCCUGCUUCCGAUACGGGCAGACUAGAGGUAUGCAGGGGAGAACGGAAUUCCUGGUGUAGCGGUGAAAUGCGCAGAUAUCAGGAGGAACACCGGUGGCGAAGGC